rnacentral:rRNA from 1 species
UACGUAGGGUCCGAGCGUUGUCCGGAAUUAUUGGGCGUAAAGAGCUCGUAGGCGGUUUGUCGCGUCUGCUGUGAAAACCUAGGGCUUAACCCUGGGCCUGCAGUGGAUACGGGCAGACUAGAGGUAGGUAGGGGAGAAUGGAAUUCCCGGUGUAGCGGUGAAAUGCGCAGAUAUCGGGAGGAACACCGGUGGCGAAGGCGGUUCUCUGGGCCCUACCUGACGCUGAGGCGCGAAAGCGUGGGUAGCAAACGGG